GUUAGGAAUAUUGGACAAUGGGCGCAAGCCUGAUCCAGCCAUGCCGCGUGAACGAUGAAGGCCUUCGGGUUGUAAAGUUCUUUAGCCGAUGAUUAUAAUGACUGUAGUCGGAAAAUAAGCCCCGGCUAACUUCGUGCCAGCAGCCGCGGUAAUACGAAGGGGGCGAGCGUUAUUCGGAAUCACUGGGCGUAAAGCGUGCGUAGGCGGUCUCGUAAGUUAGGAGUGAAAGCCCAGGGCUCAACCUUGGAAUUGCUCUUAAAACUGCAAGGCUAGAAUCGCGGAGAGGAGAGCGGAAUUUCCAGUGUAGCAGUGAAAUGCGUAGAUAUUGGAAGGAACACCAGUGGCGUAAGCGGCUAUCUGGACGAGUAUUGACGCUGAGGCACGAAAGCGUGGGGAUCAAACAGGAUUAGAUACCCGUGUAGUCC
rnacentral:rRNA from 1 species